GAUGAACGCUGGCGGCGUGCUUAACACAUGCAAGUCGAACGGAAAGGCUCUUGCUUCCUGGGGUACUCGAGUGGCGAACGGGUGAGUAACACGUGGGUGAUCUGCCCUGCACUUCGGGAUAAGCUCGGGAAACUGGGUCUACUACCGGAUAGGAUGAUGGUUUGGAUGCCAUUGUGGAGAGUUUUUUCGGUGUGGGAUGUGCUCGGGGCUUAUCAGCCUGUUGGUGGGGGAGUGGCCUACCAAGGCAUCGACUGGUAGCCGACCUGGGAGGGGGUACGGGGACACGAGGCCUGAGAUACGGCCCAGACUCGAAUGGGAGGCAGUGGUGGGGAGUAUUACACAGGGGGAGCGAGCCUGAGGAGGCGACGCCGCGUGGGGGAAGACGGCCUGCGGGUUGUGAACUCCAGCCGCUUGGGACGAAGCGAUAGUGACGGUACCUGAAGAAGAAGCACCGGCUAACUACGUG
rnacentral:rRNA from 1 species